CUGUCUUGUUCUUCCAUGUGUAAACACUGAGCUCUGUCCCAGCUCCUUUUGAUGAUAAAUUCCUUGUCUUUUGAAUCACAAAUCACCUUUUUGUGUGUCAGGAGGAAGCGUCAAAGCCCAAAGUCACUUUGUUUUUUAUAGCACCAGCGCUCUCCAGCUGAACUCCGCUCAGAUAUCACCGAUUUCACGGAGCUCUGCAACAACAGCAGGUUUCUGGCAAGACAAAAGCCUCCUGACACCCUGGCAUGUUCAUUGCAUCAGGAGUCUACACGGUGUGGUUUUGCUUUCAGAUGAAAACAUUUUCAAGCUCCACUCCCAGGGCAGAUCUCCUGCCUAUCUGUAGUUUACCUCUCAGCUCCUGCAUGAGGGCAGGGAGCAAGAUGCUGGCCAGUGACACAGCUGCCUCCUGGCUGGGGGAGUGUGGGAUCCUGUCCCCCUGCACUAGGGAGAAAUUAAAGGUAACCCUCCUUGAGCAGGGAAUGCUGAACAAGAUGCUCUGAUCCACCACAGGAGCUAGGAUUAGGUGCUGGUUCUUCACACUGCAUUUCUGCACAUUCUGGAUAGUCAUAAGCUGCUCUGAAAUGUUAACUGAGAACACGAGCUCAUGAGCCCAGUAAUUUGGAAGUGAGUGAUUAAAAUUUCUAUUUAAAAUAAAGCUGGC
rnacentral:lncRNA from 1 species